UUCAAGACCAGCCUGGCCAAUAUAGUGAGACUCCAUCUCUACAAAAAAAAUAAAAAUUAGCUUGGUGUGGUGGUGGGUGCCUGUAGUGUGAGCUACUUGGGAUGCUGAGGUGGGAGGAUCAUUUGAGCCUGGAAGAUCGAGACUGCAGUGAGCUGUGAUUGUGCCUUCUUCCUUCCCCCUCCUCCUCCUUUUUACUUUUCUUCCUCUUCCUUUCUCUUCUUCUUUCUCUCCUUCAUUAUCCCUUUCGCUGUUUCUCUUUCUCCCUUUCUCUUUUUUCUUUUCUUUCAAUUUUCUCAAUUACUAAGAGAUGUUUAAGUACCCUCAGCGUGUUAGUAGAUACGGUUAUUUCUCCCUUUAGUUCUCUUUUGAGAUUUAUAGUCACUCAAAUAAAGAGAUAACCCAAACAUAAGCGUCACAAACAGGCUUUCAUACCAUUCUUAAUUUGGUCCUGUAAUUCUUCAUUGCUGUAUUAAUUUUCUGAUGCUUUUAAGGAUGUUUUAUAACAAAUUGUGUAGCUUUUUCCAAUGGAAUGUUUAUUCUGAAUUAUCUAAUUCAUAUUGUAAGUAUAGAGGGAGUUUAAUAUAAAAUUAUUAAACUAAUAUUUGUGAAAGAAUGUAUUUGUGCAUUUAACAAAUAUGUUAAUCCUCAGACUGUUAUUGGGCAGCUCAGCAUACAGGAAUAAAAAUAACACAAUUUUUAUGUGUACAAUAUUUAUGGAAUACGUUACUGGACCCAAUAAAUAAUUUAGUUAAUAACAUGACAAAGAACAGAAAUUGUAUACACCAUAGAGCAUAGUAAUGGAAUAAUGAAUGAUUAAAGUUAUUAAUAUUAGGUAGAAAGUGAAGGGUAUCUUUGAGAGCAGAAUUCAAGGAAGCAAGCAAUUCGCCUUAUCAGGAAAGAGUUACCUGUGGAUAAAGGAGAAACUGAAAAAUUUACAAGUCAAGACUUUUUGAGCAAAAACAAAAAUAUGACUAUUAGUCACCAAUUCAGUACAGUGAAAAAAAUGUUGAAGAGAUAUCUUGGAAGUAAACCAUGUUGUGGAAGAGCAUGUAGGGUUUUGAUAAUCAUGGGAUGAUUCUGAAUUAAUUUUAAAUGCGAUAGGAAUAUAUGAGAUAAUUUCACCAGAGAAUAAUAUGAUUGUGUUUGCAUUUCAAAGGGGUGUAUCUGGUGCACUGUGUAGAAUAAAUAGGUUAUGUGAGCAAAUAAAUUGGGAGGCUACUCUAAUCCAGCGAAAAAAGGUAGUGACCUAGGUGAGAAUGCUGUCAGCAUGAGUGGUAGUAGUGGUGAGAAGUCGUUAGGCCAUGGAUGUAUUUCAUAGGACUGGCCAAGAGAACUGCAGGUAAAUUGGAGUGUAGGGAGUGAAAUAGAGAACUCAAAGAUGACUCUCAGCAAUGGAAGGUGACAGCUGUCACUGAAGCAUGCUGAUGCCUCUUAUUAAGAGAGUUACUUGGGAAUGGCAAGAUCAAAACUUCUCACUUUCAAAUUUAUGAAAAAUAUUGUUUUCAGAACGAGUGACUUUGGGAUCAGAAAGCCACCAUUCUAAUUGAUGGUUCCACGACUACACGGGCUCACACUCGCAAGAGCAAAAGUAAAUCAUCACAAAGGUGCUUCUUGAUAAUUCUAGAGAAUGGAGAAUUACUGUAACAUCUUUCUGAUUUUAGGAGAGGUAGCAGUUCCCUUUUUAGCCUAAACGCUAUUUCUUUUUAAAGCUCAGCCAAGAGACUCCAUUAUAAUUUUCAAAUGUGUGUAACUUAAAUUCUCAUAUGAAAUACCACUAUGCUUAAAUUAGUCAAAACAUUUUCCCCAUCUACAACUCUAUCUUGUCAUUGUAAUCAUUUUCACAAAAGUGACUGCAGCUCUCAGACCCUAAAAAGAGAAAAUCCAGGGUAGUUUAUCUGAUCUAGUUAGUUUCGAAGACAGGAUCUAGAGAUUAUUUAAUACGAAAUGGGUCACCUGAAAUGAAGUGUUUGCUGAAAACAGCUUGGAUCAGCCCAGUUUUCUACCACUGAACCAUGCAUUUGGUUUAAAAAACACAACAACUCUGCGGAAUAUCGGCUGCUUCCAACUGUGUUGAAGGUGUUAAAGAAAAGAGCAUAAAAUUAAAAAUGAUCAUCUGAGGCCUUUAUAGUCUCUGCUCAAGAGACUAGAGUUUUCCAUUCUUAACGAAACACCCAAAUAUCUUAAUAAUUGGGCAAAAUCUAAAUAUCAGAGAUAAUUUUAUCUUGAAGAUUGUUAAAUUAUAACGGUGAUUCACUAGCUUGCCACGUCUCUGAGUCAAAAAUUAGGUCUUUGUUUAGGAAUCAAUCAUAAUCUGCAAUUUGGAAAUAGGAAGAUUUUAGAAGACUCAGACAUUGACUUUCUUGUGUGCAAAAAAAAAGACGUAUUGAGAUAAGACAAGUCUUUCCUUGCAAGGAUACCUCUAAUGCUCAUACACCACCUCCCCUAACAUUAAUAGAGCUUCCAGGUCACUAACCAGUGUCAGAGAGCAGCCCACGCAACCAGAAAUUCAAAAGAUGUCGAACAUAGGGUCAAGCUUAGAAUAAGACGUCUUAGCUAAUUAAGUAUGCUUUUUUCCCGAAAUUCAUAUUAACAAAAUCUUGGAUAUGUCAGAGAAUGCAUUCUAAGUUCACUCAACCUAGGAGGGAGAAACAUAAUUUUAAAUUAAGAGCUGAAGCAUUCUUGUCCUAACACAAAGCAAGGAAAACGAAAUAUCACACCACAGGAGGGAUUUCACAAAUUUGCGUCAACAUCAAAACCUUAAAAUAGGCAAGGAGAAUGCAGAUUCACAAUGAACUCUUGUACUUGUUUUGUUCAGAGAAGAGACGGUUCUGAGAGAAUGACAGUGAACUAACCCCAGCUGGGUUUAGUUGGUGCUUUCAACUACUGCUUCUGAUCAACUCCUUUAGCUAGAAUAAAUUGAUG
rnacentral:lncRNA from 1 species